rnacentral:lncRNA from 1 species
GAUUACAAAAAUUUGCACCGUUGGUUCCCAACCUACAGCUCUAGUAGCAAGUUGAUCCCCACCUUUUGGAGCAUAUUUGUCCUUAACCUUCCACAGCUGUUGAACAAGUAGUCCUGGUAGAUGUUUCCUUCCAAAAAUUCGUUAAAUGUCAGUUACACCAUUUUCUCAAGAAACUCUCCCCCUCCCCCUACCAAAGGAGAAAAAAUAAUUCUAGUUUAAAACUGUUGCCGGCAUUCGGAGAAGAAGGGGUUUCAAGUGAUAAAAUGCAGGACAUUGUUAUGGCCUUUACACAAAUGAUUCUACAUUUAAACUUAAACAGGUCAAUAUAGUAUGGUAGAGAAUAGUGGCUAGUUUUGUCAGGAUAAAUGACUUAAUAGUUUAACAAUCCAUGUUCAGCCCAUUACGUUACAUUUUUCACCUUCCAAUCAAAACUUACAUGAUUGUAAUCUUCAAUAAUCUGGUCCACUGCUUAAGGGUGCAGAUGCAAACUCAAAGACCUGAAAAUGCAAUCCAAAACCUCUUAAGAUGAUGAUCCCCUCAAUAAUGCUUCAGUGAAAACAGAAGUCAGAAAAUUUGUCAGCCAGCUUUGUGCUACUUUUUAGUCUCUCAAGUUUGGCAGCCAUGGUACAGACGGGGAAGCACGGCCAAGAACCAAAGUUUGGGGGAGAGAUGGGAGAUAGAUCGGCUAGGGUGGCG